AUUGAACGCUGGCGGCAGGCUUAACACAUGCAAGUCGAGCGAGCGGCGGACGGGUGAGUAAUGUCUGGGAAACUGACUGAUGGAGGGGGAUAACUACUGGAAACGGUAGCUAAUACCGCAUACCAUCAGAUGUGCCCAGAUGGGAUUAGCUAGUGGGUGGGGUAAUGGCGCACCGAGGCGACGAUCCCUAGCUGGUCUGAGAGGAUGCCCAGCCACACUGGAACUGAGACACGGUCCAGACGCCGACGGGAGGCAGCAGUGGGGAAUAUUGGACAAUGGGCGAAAGCCUGAUGCAGCCAUGCCGCGUGUGUGAAGAAGGCCUUCGGGUUGUAAAGCACUUUCAGCGAGGAGGCGUUACUCGCAGAAGAAGCACCGGCUAACUCCGUGCCAGCAGCCGCGGUAAUUC
rnacentral:rRNA from 1 species